CACCUCUAGCUAACAACAUAUAUUAGAGGCACUGCCUGCCCAGUGACUACGUUCAACGGCCGCGGUAUUCUGACCGUGCAAAGGUAGCAUAAUCACUUGUCUUUUAAAUUAAGACUAGUAUGAACGGCAACACGAAAGCCUAACUGUCUCCUUUAUCCAGUCAAUGAAAUUGAUCUUCUCGUGAAAAAGCGAGAAUACAUUAACAAGACGAGAAGACCCUAUGGAACUUUAAACACAUUAACCACUUUUUCACUUUACCUACUAUAUUAUAUAAAAAAUCUGGUAUACUGUUUUUGGUUGGGGUGACCAAGGAGAAAAAUAUAACCUCCAUGAACCACACUAAGACUAACAUAAUCAAAGUAUUAAAAUUUUAAAUUUAUGACCCAAUAAACUUGAUCAACGAACCAAGCUACCCUAGGGAUAACAGCGCAAUCUUCUCCAAGAGCCCAUAUCGCCAAGAAGGUUUACGACCUCGAUGUUGGAUCAGGAUUACCAGACAGUGCAGCCGCCGUCAAAGGUUUGUUUGUUCAACAAUUAAAAUCCU
rnacentral:rRNA from 1 species